UUUCUCCUGGGAAACGGGUGGUAAUGCCGGAUGCUCCAGUUGAUCGCAUGGUCUUCUGGGAAAGCUUUCGCGGUAUGGGAUGGGGUCGCGUCCUAUCAGCUUGACGGCGGGGUAACGGCCCACCGUGGCUUCGACGGGUAGCCGGCCUGAGAGGGCGACCGGCCACAUUGGGACUGAGAUACGGCCCAGACUCCUACGGGAGGCAGCAGUGGGGAAUAUUGCACAAUGGGCGCAAGCCUGAUGCAGCGACGCCGCGUGAGGGAUGGAGGCCUUCGGGUUGUAAACCUCUUUUAUCGGGGAGCAAGCGAGAGUGAGUUUACCCGUUGAAUAAGCACCGGCUAACUACGUGCCAGCAGCCGCGGUAAUACGUAGGGUGCAAGCGUUAUCCGGAAUUAUUGGGCGUAAAGGGCUCGUAGGCGGUUCGUCGCGUCCGGUGUGAAAGUCCAUCGCUUAACGGUGGAUCCGCGCCGGGUACGGGCGGGCUUGAGUGCGGUAGGGGAGACUGGAAUUCCCGGUGUAACGGUGGAAUGUGUAGAUAUCGGGAAAGAACACCCAA
rnacentral:rRNA from 1 species